GCUCAGAACUUAAAGGAAUUGACGGGGCCGCACAAGCGGUGGAGUAUGUGGUUUAAUUCGAUGCAACGCGAAGAACCUUACCUGGUCUUGACAUCCCGGAGACCCUUAGGAAACUAGGGGGUGCUUCCAUCUGGAAGAAUCUGGAGACAGGUGCUGCAUGGCUGUCGUCAGCUCGUGUCGUGAGAUGUUGGGUUAAGUCCCGCAACGAGCGCAACCCUUGCCUUUAGUUGCCAGCAGUUCGGCUGGGCACUCUAAAGGGACUGCCGGUGUUAAACCGGAGGAAGGUGGGGAUGACGUCAAGUCCUCAUGGCCUUUAUGACCAGGGCUACACACGUACUACAAUGGCCGAUACAAAGGGCAGCGACACUGCGAGGUGAAGCCAAUCCCGUAAAAUCGGUCUCAGUCCGGAUUGGAGUCUGCAACUCGACUCCAUGAAGUUGGAAUCGCUAGUAAUCGUGGAUCAGCAUGCCACGGUGAAUACGUUCCCGGGCCUU
rnacentral:rRNA from 1 species